rnacentral:piRNA from 1 species
UGAGUGAAAUUAAAUUCUAAUUUCUCUGCC